CCCGACUGUUUUUUUUUUUCCAGUUCCUCCUCCUGUCACUCGCGCACCGCCACCCUCCGUUGUCUCUUCCCCGCAGGCGAGCGAAGGGAAGGUGAGGUCGUCGCUGAUUGGCUGCCCGCGGCUAAGAGAGCUGACUGCUGAUUGGCUGAAAGUGCAGGAAAGGCAGUUAAAGGACACGCCUCCUCCCUCGCUGUGAAUAUUUUUUUGUAUUUAUAUAUUUAAUUCAUGACAUUUUUAAAUGAUUGUGGGGAGGUAUUUUAUCUAACAAAAUAAAAUAUGAGUUUCGAAGAAAGCAGAUUUUUUAAUGUCGACAAAAAGUUUUGUAAUUACCAAUAAAUGAACUGUACAUUU